CUGAUUAGAAGCUUGCUUCUAUGACGUUAGCGGCGGACGGGUGAGUAACACGUGGGCAACCUGCCUGUAAGACUGGGAUAACUUCGGGAAACCGAAGCUAAUACCGGAUAGGAUCUUCUCCUUCAUGGGGGAUGAUUGAAAGAUGGUUUCGGCUAUCACUUACAGAUGGGCCCGCGGUGCAUUAGCUAGUUGGUGAGGUAACGGCUCACCAAGGCAACGAUGCAUAGCCGACCUGAGAGGGUGAUCGGCCACACUGGGACUGAGACACGGCCCAGACUCCUACGGGAGGCAGCAGUAGGGAAUCUUCCGCAAUGGACGAAAGUCUGACGGAGCAACGCCGCGUGAGUGAUGAAGGCUUUCGGGUCGUAAAACUCUGUUGUUAGGGAAGAACAAGUACGAGAGUAACUGCUCGUACCUUGACGGUACCUAACCAGAAAGCCACGGCUAACUACGUGCCAGCAGCCGCGGUAAUACGUAGGUGGCAAGCGUUAUCCGGAAUUAUUGGGCGUAAAGCGCGCGCAGGCGGUUUCUUAAGUCUGAUGUGAAAGCCCACGGCUCAAC
rnacentral:rRNA from 2 species